GGACUUUGUUCUGUACAGCUUGACGUGACUUACAGAGGAUUGUAGCAGUUCUUGAGAUUGAUAGGAGGCUAAGAGAAGAUGGUAUCUUGAAGAUAUCGGAGCCCUUUUGCAGAACAUAGUAGGUUUUCUUUGAUUAGAUCUAGAAAUGCUUCAUGUGUGUAUUUUUAAUGAAUUCACUUUUAGUGGGUGAGAAUUGCUUCUGUUAUGUCAAGACUCUAGAAUACACAACAUCAAUGAAAAGUAGGUUUAAGGGCAUGGUAUUUCUAAUGUAAAUGUGAAACUGCCAUGAUCAUAUGUGCAAAGGCAGCUCUGAGUUCAUAAAUUCAUGCGGCCUCUACUGCUCUGACUUCAAAUGCAGAUUAUAGGAUAAUAGUGCAGAGAAGGCUGUGUCUUUUCCCGUUUCUAGGUAUGGUUAACAGCUAGAAAUAAAAUUCAUCAGUGCCAUGUAUGGAAGAGCUCCACAAACUACAUGUAAGUCUGCUAUGAUGGUUGACAUAAUCAGAAGGUACAGCUAUAAAACUGGUUUUGUACAGCCUGGGGUCAGGGAAUUUCCUGUCUCUUCUGCCUUUUUUCUUUUUUUUUUUUUAAUUUCACUUUUCUUGAGGUGAACGUUAUUGGAUGACUAAACUGUGUCCACAAAAUUCACAUUCAGAAAACCACCCCAAAUAAACAAUUUUAUGUAUAAAUAAAAGCAUGAAGGAUUAAGCAGUUCUACGUUUGUUAAAUCUAAUUGCAACAAUAGUGUGAUGUAUUAUUCUGAAGCUCUAGAAUGAGGUACUGGAACUGAGAUAAGCUGCUUUCAGUAUUCACUGGAUUUAAAAUUCUUGCUGUUUGCAUCCUGUCAUUAAAUGGUUGGCAACCCAACGGUUGUGACAAAUGUGUAUGUUGGCAAGGAAUAAAAAGUGGUAGCACCUCUGAAGUUUUACAGGAGGUGUGCUGCCUAGGGAUGGUAGACGGUUGGAGCUGUUACUAAUGCCAUUCUGUUAUCUGUGUUGCAGCUAAUUUCUGAAACAAAGAAAUACUGGUCAUGCAUUCUACCUGGUAGUAAGAACUGCUGCAUUUGCUUUUCUUUGAGUGUUUUCUGACACUGGAGUUUUUGUGUACUCACUACUUUUGUUGUUUUGAUAAUGAAAUAAGUCUGGCUACGAGCUCUAUCAGCCUUUUAACUGCAGAAGGGACUGCUUGAAAAAGCGUGACCCUUCUAAAAUUUUUUCCCUCAAGAGGAAAUGUCUGAUUUUUAGUUUGUCUUUGAUCCCAUCUCAUCAGUGUAAUUUUAUUCCUUCAGACAAUUGAGCCUGCAGUUCAUUAUAGCACAAAACCGGAACCCUUCUAUUAUCGUAUUUUUAGCAACAAUUAUUUUGAGCCUUCAAAUUGCAUUUGCAAAGGAAAGGCCUGCAUCAAUCUCACAUCUUAGCCUUUAAAACUGACUGUCACUUACACUUCCAGGAGAGGCAGUGGAGGACUGAAUCCAGAGCUGCAGUUCUGAGAACAGACCAAUUGCAUGUGAGGUGUUUUUUGGCACCCUGGCUCGGUGAAAGUGGCUAAGUGAAAUUAAGCAUGUAGUAACCUCUCAAACAACCUGAGAAUGCUGCAUUUGUUGUCCUACAUCCCUCCUUGUGGGGGCUAUUAUGCGUGACCCAUAUGGAAGUGCUUAGUGUUAGGAGAUACUAAUGGCCACUUCAGGUGUGAAUCAGAGUCCAGGAGUGCCAUGAGGCAGUGCCCCACAGGCACACCCUUGGCACUGGCUCAGGAGAGCUGCUUGGCAGGAGGAGGAAUUGAGGCGUUGGGCACCUGUGGGGCACCUCAGCACGGCAGGAGGGACAGAUUUCAGCAUCUUCCCUGAGCAGAACUUUUGACUAUUUUUCAGAGCUUACAGACUUGAUUAAAACAUCGUCCUUCUGUUUAUGGAGCUGAGAAGCUCUUAGAGGCAUGAAUUAAUGGGGAGAUGGGUUGCCUGCUGCAGAAUUGAGAAGUUGUGCUGCUGCAGAAGAGAAAAUUGUUCUGCUAGGUGAUUUGUUAGGUGCAUGCAAUGCUUCCAGAAAUUGACAAGCAAAGGUGUUUACCUUUAAUUGGGACUGACUGUCACUGUCACUUUUUUUUUUUAGGAAACUCUCCAUUAGAGAAUAUUGUAGUUUUCUUUAACAUGGUGACUGCAAAUAUAGGAAAAGAGGUAUAAUACUUUACUUAUAUCUCUUUACUUAUAUCACAGGAGAGGUGAGGGAGACUUCAGAAGAUUUGGAGGUAUUUUCCACACUUGUCAGAGCAACCGCCUGUCACUGUCUGUGGCAACCCAACUGCAACUUGGAAAGGGGAGCAUCAUUUGCCAGUUAGAAAACGUAGAUUUUUCUAUUCUCAUUGUGCCUCGUUGAUAUAUCUGCGUACUAUAUGUACUAACAUGUAUUUGAGUUCUUCAGAGAUAGGCUU
ensembl:lncRNA